CCUACGGGAGGCAGCAGUGAGGAAUAUUGGUCAAUGGACGAGAGUCUGAACCAGCCAAGUAGCGUGAAGGAUGACUGCCCUAUGGGUUGUAAACUUCUUUUAUAUGGGAAUAAAAUGUUCCACGUGUGGGAUUUUGUAUGUACCAUAUGAAUAAGGAUCGGCUAACUCCGUGCCAGCAGCCGCGGUAAUACGUAGGAUCCGAGCGUUAUCCGGAUUUAUUGGGUUUAAAGGGAGCGUAGGUGGAUUGUAAGUCAGUUGUGAAAGUUUGCGGCUCAACCGUAAAAUUGCAGUUGAAACUGGCAGUCUUGAGUACAGUAGAGGUGGGCGGAAUUCGUGGUGUAGCGGUGAAAUGCUUAGAUAUCACGAAGAACUCCGAUUGCGAAGGCAGUUCACUGGACUGCAACUGACACUGAGGCUCGAAAGUGUGGGUAUCAAACAGGAUUAGAUACCCGAGUAGUC
rnacentral:rRNA from 1 species